GUGUCCCCUUCAACAGUACAUAACUAUCUAUUAACCAGAUAUUCUCCAAAUCAACAAGACAAGUUGGCCUUUCCAGUACCUCUGCUGAGACACAAGGGAAGACUUUCCAUCACUCUACCUUCUAAAAAUGGAGAUAUGACUGAUUAAUUGAAUUUUUUCCUACCUUCAUGUACAGAUAUUGAAGCCUAAACUUGCAAACAAAGCUCAGAAAUUGUUCAUCCCGACCUUACUAUGCACACUGAAAAUGACAAUGAAGAAAGGAAGUUGAGAACUUAGGAUCCACUAGAAGCAGGGAAGUCCAGAUGCUUCUGACAGACUCUGAGCUCCUGAUUCCAGGUGUGGAAGGUUCAGAUCAAUUCUAUCUCUUCAACUUACCUACUCGACACCUACCAAGGACUCAAUGACAUUCCCCAGGGUCGCCAUAUUUCUUCCUUUUUUUUUUUAUACCAAGACAGAAGGCCAUCUUCGUUCUCUACAUCUCUGAGCUUUACAUUCUCUUUGUUCUCAAUCCCAAAUUGAUGUUUCCUCUGACCUAGAGGCCAAUUAGUAAACCCUAUAUGUACUGAAUGAAUAUACAAGAGGCAUUUGCAGACACGACAACACUUGUGACAACACAGAAGAUAGGGCUCUCCAGGAUACAAGAGAUUUUUCAUGGAAGGCCUAAUGAUGAUAUCACUGAGAACCGCCAUAGCCUACCUACAAACAGCUUUCUUUACACUGACCAGAUGUGAGAGUGCCUUUUCCAGGUAUGUCUCCUGUGACACAGGAAAAACCUUUAUAUACUCCAUCUCUCGAAAGCUAGAGACUUCUCUUCGCUUCAAUAUUGUUUACAUGCUCUGAAUGGAGAAAGUUAUUCAGGGUCCUGGCAUGGGUAGAAAUGAUCUAGGAACGUGGAGCAGAGAAGAUUCUUCUGGAUAAUAUUUUUAUUCCCAGGUCCAAACCUGUGACAUACCGUUCAAUUUUCUAGGUUUUCUGUCUCUUGUAAAGGCCAGUAUUUUCCCUUCAGACCUUUAGAUGAAGGAAUAUUGUAUUUCUCUGUUUUAUUGUACAUUCUUUGGUAGGUGACUUUAUAAAUAUUCCUGAAUAUGUACUCAAAAA